UUUUAAUUAGCCUUACCACCACCACCCCGCAGCCCUCCCACUCAGGACCGGCCACCCGAAACCAUGUGGCCCCAGUGAUUACCCAGGAGACAGACAGAAGGACGCAUUCAUUGAGCUUCCUGUCCCUCUGAGUUGGGUGAACUAACAAGCGCUCCAGAGAUGCUCAGGACAGCCGGCUCCACGCUGACACCACCUUCACCCUGACAUCGUCCCCAGGUGCCCCGUGAGUCAGCGCGACGUGGAUUCUUUCUCUGGGAAGUCCCCCACCAGGGAGAGGAGGAGGAGAACGUGGAUCUGCUCUUGAGAAGUGAAAACAUGACGGGCAGCAGGGCAGGGCAGUCAAGGAGCUGUGGGCUGA